GGGGAAUAUUGCACAAUGGGCGAAAGCCUGAUGCAGCAACGCCGCGUGAGUGAUGAAGGCCUUCGGGUUGUAAAGCUCUGUCUUCUGGGACGAUAAUGACGGUACCAGAGGAGGAAGCCACGGCUAACUACGUGCCAGCAGCCGCGGUAAUACGUAGGUGGCAAGCGUUGUCCGGAUUUACUGGGCGUAAAGGAUGCGUAGGCGGAUACUUAAGUCAGAUGUGAAAAUCCCGGGCUUAACUUGGGAACUGCAUUUGAAACUGGGUAUCUAGAGUGCGGGAGAGGAAAGUGGAAUUCCUAGUGUAGCGGUGAAAUGCGUAGAUAUCGGGAGGAACACCCGUGUCGAAGGCGGCUCUCUGGCCUGUAACUGACGCUGAGGCGCGAAAGCGUGGGGAGCAAACA
rnacentral:rRNA from 1 species